AGAAGAGACAAUGUUGAUAUGAGUAACAAGAAAUAUUUCUCCCCGCACAUGUGUAUAUCCGAACGAAUAAGUCACUGAUAGUUAACAAAACGAACAUACACAACUACUAGCCCACCUAUCAAUUGUUAGCCCAACACAGGAGUGCUGCCCGGGAAGAUAAAAGAAGUAAAAGGAACUCGGC
rnacentral:rRNA from 1 species